rnacentral:lncRNA from 1 species
GAGAGAAAGAGAUCUGACUUUGUGCCUUUGAAUUUGCCUCUUUCCCAGCCAUACCCUUGCUACUGUAGAACCCAUGGCAGUGAUUUUGAGCAAAUUAGAGACACACCUAUUAAGAGAUAUUAAAAAAUAAUCAAACACAACCUAAGAAUCUUUAUAAAAAUAUCAAAUUAUGUGAAAAUAUCAAUUUUUAAAAAUAAUUAUAAAUC